AUCAGUGCUGUAAUGAUAUCCUAGUGUCCUGAGCGCCAGACCAGAGGGUUCUCCACCACAUCUGGAAAGGGGUUUGCAAGUUCAGAGGAGGGAAAGGCAAAUCCAACAUGGAAGGUUAGAAAUGGCUUCCUGGUGGAUGGGCACUAGGGAUGGGAUGUUAACAGGUAAAGAGGAAGACAGGAGACGGUAACUGACAGCAGGAAUAGAUAUAGAGGGGCUGCUUGCUGAGUAGUGAUGGGAUAACUUAUGGAAGUAGAAAUCAAAAGGACUGAAGAAAUAGGGUAGGUCACAUUGUGAAGAGCUUCAGAGGGCACGCAUAGAGGGUCUGGGUGUGAAAGGGCAGUCUUCCUCUAGAACCAUGUAUGCCUGACACCAGUUUAAUAAAUUAUAGGACAAAAGUAGAGAAGAAGCUUAAUAAAUUAGGUUACUGGAGAGGUUAAUGAUGGAAGACAAUGGAGGCAUCGAUAGACCCAGUUUACCCUCUGCUUUUUAUCUCUUCCCCUCACAAAUGUUUUAGUGAGCCAAGUCCCUUUGACUUGCUUGAUGAAAGGAGGAUAACUAAACUUUGCCAGUGUCAGAAACUUUCCAAGUCUUGUGCUAUGAAAAACACAAAUACUCCUGAGAGGACUCCUAAUUUAAGCAUUAUCAAGCAUGAGCACCAUUUUUAACAUGAAGAAAAAUGUUUUGGAGUACACUUUGUUUAUAUAAAUUGUGUAGCUUAAAUUAGGAAAUGCCAUAUCUUCAACUACACAUAAUCAUUUUUUAAUUUCCUUAUAACUGAGAGUUUUCAUUCUUUUGGCUAAAAUUUCAGAAAUGACACCAUUGGUAGAUGAGGCAGAAUCUUAUCCUGAUGCAGAGACUUAUGAAUUCUGGGAGACCCAGAGGUUCUGUGGGAGUAGGGGAGGGAAUUGGCCCUAAAUACACACUCAGUUGCAGGACUAAAGGGCUUACUGUGGGGUUUCUGGCUUCUGGAGAAGCUCAAGAACAAGGGAGGUCCUUGAAAGGAACAGAUCUGAAGGGAUCUGGGAGGCUGCAGGAGAUGUAGGAGUCCAGAAGCCAACUACUGGUAUGAAACUAACCUUUCUCCACUUUCAAUGUAUAAAGAGGAAGGGAUCCUUUCCCUGGCUAUGGCCUAACACAGGUGACAAAAAGUAGGGCCUUUUCCACUGACUUUAUUUUACUUUCUUGUUCCAGAAAUUAGGUUAAUCUCUAAUGAGGGGCUGGUGGGUUGAUGCGACCCAUGGAAUUAUUUGGUAGGUGGCUGAAUGCCAGAAGGAGGCAUACAGAGGGCAAAGGAGGGGCUGGAAAUAGGGGGAAUUAAGAGCCCUGGAACGCCAAGGAGAGACUUACUCAGCUGUUUUACCUGAUCCCAUCUGGAUAGCUCAGAUUGGCUCAGAAAAACAGAGCCCAGCGCAAGACCCCAGGGAGUCAAUAAAUAGUAACUGCUGAGAAUAAAACUUCCAGUUAGGAGCAAGCCCCCCAAAAUCUGGCCAUAAGCUGGCCCCAAAACUAGCCAUAUACAAAAUCUCUGCAGCACUGUAACAUGUUCAUAAUGGCCCUAACACCCAAGCUGGAAGGUUGUAUGUUUACGGGAUGAGGGCAAGGAACACCCGGCCCGCCCAGGGUGGAAAACUGCUUAAAGACAUUCUUAAGCCACAAACAAUAGCGUGAGCAAUCUGUGUCUUAAGGACAUGCUCCUGCUGCAGUUAACUAGCCCAACCUAUUCCUUUGAUUUGGCCCAUCCCUUCGUUUCCCAUAGGGGAUACUUUUAGUUAAUUUAACAUCUAUAGAAACAAUGCUAAUGACUGGCUUGCUGUUAAUAAAUAUGUGGGUAAAUCUCUGUUCAGGGCUCUCAGCUCUGAAGGCUGUGAGACCCCUGAUUUCCCACUUCACACCUCUAUAUUUCUGUGUGUGUGUCUUUAAUUCCUCUAGCACCAUUGGGUUAGGGUCUCCCCAACUGAGCUGGUCUCGGCACCUUCCAAAAGACAGGGGACUUGGUAGAAUGGAAGAGCACAGACGUUGACUAUAGCUCACCUGACCUUGAGCCUGACAUAGCUGCUUAAGUUUUCCAAGUAUUGAACUUCAAAAUAGAAGAGCCAAGCAUGGUGGCUCACUCCUGUAAUCCCAGCACUUUGAGAGGCCAAGGCAGGCGGAUCACCUGAGUUUGGGAGUUCAAGACCAGUCUGGCCAACAUGGUGAAACCCUGUCUCUACUAAAAAUACAAAAAAUUAGCUGGGCGCUGUGGUGGGUUCCUGUAAU
rnacentral:lncRNA from 1 species